GUCAGCGUAGUUCAGUGGCAGAGCGCCCGGCUCGGGACCGGGAUGACGCGGGUUCGAGCCCCGCCGCUGGUA
rnacentral:tRNA from 1 species